rnacentral:rRNA from 1 species
CUUUGCCGGCGACCGGCGCACGGGUGAGUAACACGUAUCCAACCUGCCCUUUACUCGGGGAUAGCCUUUCGAAAGAAAGAUUAAUACCCGAUGGCAUAAUGAUUCCGCAUGGUUUCAUUAUUAAAGGAUUCCGGUAAAGGAUGGGGAUGCGUUCCAUUAGGUUGUUGGUGAGGUAACGGCCCACCAAGCCUUCGAUGGAUAGGGGUUCUGAGAGGAAGGUCCCCCACAUUGGAACUGAGACACGGUCCAAACUCCUACGGGAGGCAGCAUG